CCUGUUUUCCAAACGGAAGAAUUACAUGCAACAGAAUAAAUCUGUUAAGUCCCUUCUUCAUACACUCGUACAAGGCUAACAUCUUAUAGAUAAGAGUCCUAAAUAUUUUCCGCAUCACUCUAAUUAAACAAUAAAUUUGAUAUGUUGUUUGAGAUGGUUCUGAAUAUCUUUUGAAACUCCAUGUACAUCGUCGGUUAAUGACCAUGAUUUUAUAUGUCCAUGGCCGAUUAUCAUAUUAAUCAUCUCCAUGUCGACUAAUUCAUCACAUUGUCUUAACCAUGAUAUUCUCGGAUCCCAGAGUUGUCGACCGAGGCACACCAGUUGCGAGGAAGAGUCGCUACGAGCCUCAACUGAUCUUUAGUUACUAUCUCUUGCAAUGUUUCACUUGGAAGAGAACCAGAAUCAAUAGGAAAAAGGCAGGGAAAUGCCAAAUUAACAUCGUAAACAUGUAAGAUGCUUGAACGGAACCGUCAAGGAACGGAACCAUCUAGAUAAAACAUUACCG
rnacentral:lncRNA from 1 species